rnacentral:rRNA from 1 species
UACGUAGGGGGCUAGCGUUGUCCGGAAUCAUUGGGCGUAAAGCGCGUGUAGGCGGUCCGGUAAGUCCGCUGUGAAAGUCCAGGGCUCAACCCUGGAAUGCCAGUGGAAACUGUCGGGCUGGAGUCCGGAAGAGGCGAGUGGAAUUCCUGGUGUAGCGGUGAAAUGCGCAGAUAUCAGGAGGAACACCAAUUGCGAAGGCAGCUCGCUGGGACGUUACUGACGCUGAGACGCGAAAGCGUGGGGAGCAAACAGG